CCAUCUGGAUAAAGCACAAAUGUAAUCAGGCUGCCGGAGCCCAGUGCCUGACCUGGAGGUCAGUGACCUUCAUGGUCACAUGCCAAGAUCCACUGUGAGUCCAAAUGCUUUGAAUAACAAUGUUGAUGUUUUCCUGAGGAUUUUGGCUGGAGAGUGGACUAUAUGACCAGCAAAAGUCCACUAAGGCUUCAGUGCAAACUUCCCCGCCCCCACCCCUUUUGUGCAUUUUUGAUCGAGCACACAUGUUCCCGGGGAUUGAAGGUAAGGCCUGACACAAGCUAGGGAAGCAUGUUAUAUCUGAGUGACACCUCCAGCUCAGCUUCUUACAUUUGAAUCCAGACCAAGGCACACAGGGACUCAAAUUACCUAGGAUUUCCUUUCAAAGACAAGCUCUCAUUGUCCGAGGCGGGCCCCGACUUGCUAUACAGCCAAAGAUGAUCUUUAGCCCCUCGUACUCACUGCACAGAGUGCCGGGGUUAUAGGGGUCACCAUUUGGGAAUGCCAGCCAGGGUCUCCUUCCUGCCUAGCAUGCGCUCUACCAAAUGAGCUAUCUCCCCAGAGUUUGGUGGUUGUUUUUAUUUUUUUAUUUUUUGGUCGGGAACUCAGUCUCUAGCCUCAAGCUUCUGGCAAUGAUACCGCUUGAGAAUCAGUUACAGGCAUGAACCACCCUGCCCGGCACUGGUGAUGUUUUCAGUGUUACUCAUAAGACGAGAGGUAAGCCUUCCUGCUUGCACAAAGCCUCAUCAUUAUUACUUUCAAUAAUUCUAUGAUUUUAUAAAUGAAAUCCAUAACAGAGCCACCUUCAAAAAUAUUGAUAAUAGUUAUAGCCGACAUAUAUUAUAUCCAUGGUACCCCCAAAACACUCAUAAUAUAAUGAGGUUGGCACGAUUGCUAUGUCUCAUUCCUCAAUCAAGAGUCUAGAUGCGUGGCUUGCUGAAGCUAGGCAGUCGCUAGGAAAGACACAGAAGACACAGCCUCAAGGGUUCCUGUCUUUGGAAGCUAUGUCUCUCAGGUUGUCUUCUAAGUGUGCUAUGUUCUGUCCCCGUGUGUCUGUGAAGCUGUGUCUCACCCGACACCAUGUGGUCCCUGUGACCACUAACAUGGUCAGACCCUUCCUGCUCUCACAGUUGCUGCCCUCUGCCAGAGCAUAUUCAGAUUCAGUUUGAAUGAAUCAUCUGUCACUUGAGCCUCUCCAGCGCCUGUGGACUGGUCACACGCCAGGCCCUAAAGCAAUGCUGUGGCUUCAUUAUACAUAGCCAUAUGGUUUCUAUGUCAAAAUUGUUCUUUUUUUAUUUAGUUUGUAUUGAUAAUCAUAAACUUAACCCUGCAAUCAAUCCAGCUAGGCUUGGAGGGGGAUGAGGAAAAUAAGGAGCUUAAAGACCUUCAGUGAGAGCAGAGAUCACAGGUAUUGUGAGCAGAUGGGGUAGAGAUGCUCUCCUGAGCUGCAGAAGGAAUGGUCUAGUGGGUAAGAUGCCCACAAGAAUUAGAGCUGUCCACAGUCGGCGAUGGUCAUCUCCUUGCUUGUCUUGGCAUUCCUGGACCAAUAACAUCCCAUGACUUCCACAGGCUCAUGAUUUCUUUCACCUUACCAAAGAGCACACAAAAGCCAUGCAGCCACUCUGUCUUGACAGUGCAGAUAAAAUACUGGGAACCGUUUGUGUUUGGUCCAGCAUUUGCCAUGGACGAGAUGCCAGGAACUGUACACUUCAGGAUGAAGUUCUCAUCCUCAACUUUCUCGCUGUAGAGGGCCCAGUGCCACUGUGGCAUGUGACGUCACCACCCUGGCACACGAAUCCUGGAAAAUUCUGUGAAAGAAGGAACCCUCGAAUCCAAAUCCUUUCUCUCCCAUGCUCAGAGCACAAAAGGUUUCUGCUGUCUUUGGAACUUUGUCCGCAAACAGCUCGAAGGAGCCGAAGCCCAAGGAUUUCACAUCGACUGUGAUGCGGAGGAACAAAGUGAAGUUGACCAUGCCUGCAGCAAGCAGUGAUAGCAGAAAGUUGUAUCUACAAAGCCACUUUCUAUGUCAAAAUUCUCAAGGUUCAUAGGAUGGAAACCCAACUUAAAACUUUUUUUUUUAAUUUUUAUCAACAAAAUCUAGGAGUCAAUCCCAUUCAAAGCCUGUAGAUGCAGCUCAGAUCUCACCUCCUCUCCCUCUGCUCCUUCAGGAACUCUGCUCUUCCCUCUCUGUCUUCUUUUUUUUUUUAACACUUAAAUUUGUUUUUAUUAGAUAUUUUCUUUAUUUACAUUUCAAAUGUUAUCCCCUUUCCUGGUUUCUCCUCUGAAAAAUCCCCUCUCCCCUCCUCCCUCCCCCUGCUCCCCAACCCACCCACUACCCACUCCUGCUUCCUAGUCCUGGCAUUCCCCUAUACUGGGGCAUAGAACCUUCACAGGACCAAGGGCCUCUCCUCCCAUUGAUGGCCAACUAGGCCAUCCUCUGCUACAUAUGCAGCUAGAGCCAUGAGUCCCACCAUGUUUUUCUUUGAUUGGUGGUUUAGUCCAAGGGAGCUCUGGGGGUACUGGUUAGUUCAUAUUGUUGUCCCUCCUAUGGGGCUACAAAUCCCUUCAGCUUGGGUACUUUCUCUAGUUCCUUCAUUGGGGACCCUGUUCUUCGUUCAAUGGAUGGCUGUGAGCAUCCAACUUCUGUAUUUGUCAGGCACUGGCAUAGCCUCACAGGACGCAGCUAUAUCAGGCUCCUGUCAGCAAGCACUUGUUGGCAUCCACAAUAGUGUCGGGUUUGGUGGUUGUUUAUGGGAUGGAUCCCCAAGUGGGGCAGUCUCAGGAUGGUCCUUCCUUCAGUCUCUGCUCCGAACUUUGUCUCUGCAACUCUUUCCAUCUGUCUUCAUUCUAAAUGUUGCAAGAACCUUCAGGUUUAUAUCACCCUAUCUCAGUAACUCGAAAGGAAAAAGCUUGCUCUCCCUCUCCCUCUCCCUCUCCCUCUUUCUCUUUGAUUAGCUCUGCCUGAGUCCCAUGAACUAAUCAUUAUGUAAUGAGAUUUAUAACUCCCUUAAUGUGGGAAGGAGCAGGGGAGGAAGUGCCCAUAGAAGCCAAAGGAAGAAAAUGGGAAUGCGCGCAAGCCGGUCCAAGAUAUGACUGCGAGUGUCCACAAAUGCAUCACGGACACUAGAUUGGCUAAGUUACUUGAUGGAUGGAGCAGAGAGUGCAGCGAUAGCACAGAGGAGCCAACACUCGCUCACUAAUUGGUGUCCAGGAAAGGGGAGUCUUGAGUUGAAGAUAGGAACCAAGGACCUUAUAACCUGUAUUGCUUAAAAAUACAGUUCUCCCAGUUCCCUAUCUCUCCCCUCACCAGCUCCUGGUUGGCUUUCCCUGACAUCAAUCCAACUGUUGUUGGUGGGAACAGGAGGGAAGACCCUGGAGAAACAACAGACAGAGACCACUAUAGAAAUCCACAACUGGUCAAAAUGCAGAGAAAAACUUCAUGGGGUUCCCAGCCCCAAAGGCUACCUCUACAGUACAACUGCAGCACCUACAGCCCAGGGAACAUCAGGAAGAGGCAGCGGGAAGGCUUUAAGAGCCAGUGGACCAGGGAAUCUGCUGUGAAGUCUUACACAACAAUAUGGCUGCCUAAACAAGCCCUAAACAAGCCCUAAACAAGCCCUAAACAAGCCCUAAACAAGGACAUCAGUAGUCAGGCUAAUGUGUGAAGGGGGAAACUCAUGGAGCUCCAUCCCUAGCCAAGGGCUUACAGGCAACUGAGGGAUGCUGACGGCAGGAUGAGUAUAUUUCCCCCAUGGAGGGGCCCCCUAAUUGGUCAUCCCAUACCAGGUGGGGAGCCCUGAGAUCAUGUACAUGCAAUGCUGAACAGAAUGGACAGUUUUAUAUAAAUAUAUGUACACAUAUAGAUGUAGUUGUGUGUGUGUGUGUGUGUGUGUGUGUGUGUGUGUGUGUGUGUGUGUGUAACAAUAACAACUAAGGAGGAAGCCGGGAGUGGGGUUGGGGGCAGGAUGGGUGGAGUUAAAGGAAGGAAAAAGCAAUGAAGGGAAAUGAUAGAGUUGUAUUUUAAUUUUACAAAGUUAAUCAAAAA
rnacentral:lncRNA from 1 species